GCCUUAGUAACGGCGAGUGAAGCGGCAAAAGCUCAAAUUUGAAAUCUGGUACCUUUGGUGCCCGAGUUGUAAUUUGUAGAGUACCACUUUGGGACUAUACUUUGCCUAUGUUCCUUGGAACAGGACGUCAUGGAGGGUGAGAAUCCCGUAUGGCGAGGGUGUUAGUUCUUUGUAAAGGGUGCUCGAAGAGUCGAGUUGUUUGGGAAUGCAGCUCUAAGUGGGUGGUAAAUUCCAUCUAAAGCUAAAUACAGGCGAGAGACCGAUAGCGAACAAGUACAGUGAUGGAAAGAUGAAAAGAACUUUGAAAAGAGAGUGAAAAAGUACGUGAAAUUGUUGAAAGGGAAGGGCAUUUGAUCAGACAUGGUGUUUUGCGCCCCUCGCUCCUUGUGGGUGGGGGACUCUCGCAGCUCACUGGGCCAGCAUCAGUUUUUGCGGCAGGACAAAACCUUGGGAAUGUAGCUGUGCGCCUCGGUGUACAGUGUUAUAGCUCUUGGGAAUACUGCCAGCGGGGACUGAGGACUGCGAUACUUGUUAUCUAGGAUGCUGGCAUAAUGGUUAUAUGCCGCCCGUCUUGAAACACGGACCAAGGAGUCUAACGUCUAUGC
rnacentral:rRNA from 1 species